ACAUUGAAGCAUUAUCUUAUUACUGGAAAUAGAUAAAACCCUUCCUUACACAGUACAGCUAGAGAUGAUAUUUCCAUCUGUUCUGCUAUGGAAAAGAAACUUGUUCAGGAGUGGAGGAUUUGCUGCUUUUCAGGAAAAGAUCAGACAAGAUUCUCCUUCCCGAUGACAAUGUAACAAGAAUCUUCAUCCAAUCAAUGAAGGAGACAUGGAUUGGAAAAGAUCCCUGGGUGUCUGACAGAAAUAAAUGAUCCAGAAGGAUGGGAGUCUGCAUCUGCCUUGCACUCAGGGAUAGAGAGAGCCAACAGCAGAAUUUCACAGUCUGGACUAUGCAAAGAACAAGCAAUUGCCAGAUGAGAUGAACAUCUCUUCUUUAUGAGGGCUCUCUAGGAGUGCUGCCUUACAAUCUUGCCCACGGCUGUUCCAACGCUGUAUAAAUAACCGCGCCACACAAGGUAUUCAACCCAGAGCUGCAAGUCAUGAGAGCUUUAUAAAUCCAGUUCAUUCUACAUUUAAAAGGCUUGGUAAAAGAAAUUAAGUUUCUUAAAAAGCAGACACUGGCCCAGCAGUUUGGCUGAGCAGGACAAACCACAGGAAGCCACAUUUCAGCUGUCUAAUUAAAGGCUCAGACCUGGAGGCUGCGAAGAAAUAUAAAUCCUGUGAUUCACCAAGCAGUAUUGAUGCUCUUACACCUCAGGAAAUGCAGUGGGUAAGUUUGAAAUACUAAAGCCAGGCCUCUGAAAUUAAGGAAUUUGGCUUCUAAAAUAGUUUUCUGCAUAAUGAUGCCCCAUCCCUGAAAGUUUUCAAGGCAAGGCUGUGUGGGGCUUAGAGCAACUUGGUCUAGUGGAAGGUGUCCCAGCCCACAGCAAAACAAAAAAAAGAGAUAAUUCAUAGAUAACUCAUUAAAAAAUGCAGUGCUGGGAGUGAUUGAUGCUUAUUUUGGUUUAUUCCUCUAGACUGAAGCAGCUUUCUCAGGUUUCUCGAGGUACCCAUAGAACCCCUCUGACACUGUUUUAAACCUGUAAAAGUCCUGAGAUGGCUUUGGGUGGAUUUCUGAAAGCAGCAAAAUGAAUCCUUAAUCUUAUGCACAUGCACAUCUAAAGUGUCCCUCAGGACAACUCUCUGAGGACAAUCUGCAUCUGCUUCAGCUCACUAGAAAUGUGAACUGAACUCAAUUUAAGAGAGUUUGUUUUUCAGUAAAGAUCAAAAAAGACAUUUGCAGAGACAGCCAGGCAAUAACCCUGUCACAGUUGUUAAUGCAGUUCCCAUCCAGCACUCAAGUCUUUCUGCAGCCCCAAUGGCUCCAGGAAUGAGAAGAAUGGGACCAUAAAAGUGAGAAAAUCAGGUCAGAAAAGCUGGAAAGGAGAACAGCAAGAAAGCAAAGAGCUACCAGGAAAAAGUCCCUCCAGAAAACCACAGGGGUGAAUGUAAGAUGAUGUUUGUACACUAUAUAAACAGAAGGAUUCUUUGCCCUGAACUUGACAGUCUCAACAAUGAGCUCUGUCGAGUUCCACAAAGAGCUCACUGAGCUCUUACUCUUGGCCAUGAUGAAGCAGAAAUUGAGUUUUUCUCUAGAGCACCUGCACACAAAUUUUAAGGCCUAUAAAUGCUGUGGAAGCUCCAUCUCCAUAUUCCCACCAAAUAAAAUUUCAUCAGACAAAACCAGUUAGGACCUGUGGGAGUUGAAGCAAAGUUUCUAUUUCUAUGUCAUAGCAGAGAAAUAGAAAAUAAACCACCAAAUAUGCUCCAAAAUGCAGUUAGGUGAGCCAGAGCUAGGGAAAUUUAUAUAUAUAUUCUGCAAAGAUCAAAAUGGCAAUUCAGAGUCAGAGAAGGAGGAUUUAUUUAGCUAUUUUGAAGCUGAUUUCAUAGACACUUGUCACUCAUUUUCCUAUCUAUUUUAUACAAUAAUUUUUUAAUAAAACAAUGCUUUUUUGAUAUAAAUUUAACUCGUAGGGUUGUGCUCUUUAUAAUUAUAGGGCUUUAUUCUACUUUUUAAAUUAUUCUGCAUAAGUGCUUUGGAGCAAGAUGUAGGCAAUAAUGUAUUACACCCCUUUAUAGUUUCCACAGAUAAUUACAAUAUCUAUAUUUUGAAUCAAAAGCAAAUGAUCCAAUCUAACAGUCCAAGAGAGAGAAGCCUGUGGAUUCAUUUCAGUCAGCCAUUGUGAGUCUUAGCCAGGAAGGACAUUUUGUAGUUCUCUGCAAAUAUCAAACCUUAAAAAGCAUUUCAAUAAGGUAAUAAAUGUAUGACUUCUUUUUAUAUCAUUUAUGAAGAAAAUAAGCCAAUGAGAAAUGGGUUUUAUUAUCUCACUUUUCUUUGGCAGUGACAUUAUGGGAGGAGAGCACAGCUGCCAUUUACGAAAAACACAACCUCCAAUAACAU